rnacentral:rRNA from 1 species
AUUGAACGCUGGCGGCAGGCCUAACACAUGCAAGUCGAGCGGAUGAAGGGAGCUUGCUCCUGGAUUCAGCGGCGGACGGGUGAGUAAUGCCUAGGAAUCUGCCUGGUAGUGGGGGAUAACGUCCGGAAACGGGCGCUAAUACCGCAUACGUCCUGAGGGAGAAAGUGGGGGAUCUUCGGACCUCACGCUAUCAGAUGAGCCUAGGUCGGAUUAGCUAGUUGGUGGGGUAAAGGCCUACCAAGGCGACGAUCCGUAACUGGUCUGAGAGGAUGAUCAGUCACACUGGAACGGAGACACGGUCCAGACUCCUACGGGAGGCAGCAGUGGGGAAUAUUGGACAAUGGGCGAAAGCCUGAUCCAGCCAGGCCGCGUGUGUGAAGAAGGUCUUCGGAUUGUAAAGCACUUUAAGUUGGGAGGAAGGGCAGUAAGUUAAUACCUUGCUGUUUUGACGUUACCAACAGAAUAAGCACCGGCUAACUUCGUG